rnacentral:rRNA from 1 species
GACGAACGCUGGCGGCGUGCUUAACACAUGCAAGUCGAACGGACAGGCCCUGCUUUUGUUGGGUGCUCGAGUGGCGAACGGGUGAGUGACACGUGUGUAACCUGCCCUUGACUUUCGGAUAACUUCAGGAAACUCGGGCUCAUACCGCAUAGGAGCUCCUGCUGCAUGGUGGUGGUUGGAAAGAUUCGGCGGUUGGGGAUGGACUCGCGGCUUAUCCGCUUGUUGGUGGGGUAGUGGAUUACCAAGGCUUUGACGGGUAGCCGGCCUGAGAGGGUGACCGGCCACAAGGGGACUGAGGUACGGCGCAGACUCCUACGGGAGGCAGUGGGGGGGAAUAUGGCAGAGUGGGCGGAAGCCUGAUGUAGCAAUGCCGCGUUCGGGAUGACGUCCUUCGGGGUGUAAACCGCUUUCUCCUGUGACGAAGCGGGAGUGACGGUAAUGGGUAAGGAAGCACCGGCUAACUACGUG